GGCCUUUUGAUAAUAAUUUAAGGUCGUGCCUGCUCAAUGAUUAAUUAAAUAGCCGCAGUAUAUUGACUGUGCAAAGGUAGCAUAAUCAUUAGUUUUUUAAUUGAAAGCUUGUAUGAAAGGUUUGAUGAAAAAAGAGCUGUCUCUGUUUAAAUUUUAAAGAAAUUUAUUUUUAAGUGAAAAAGCUUAAAUGAGAGUUGGGGACGAGAAGACCCUAUAGAGUUUAAUAUUUUAUUAAUUAAUAAAUUGUAGGAUUGUAUGAGUUAUGAUGAAGUAAAGUAUUUUGUUGGGGUGAUAGAAAAAUUUACAAAACUUUUUUUAUAUUGAAACAAUUAUUUUUGGAUAUUUGAUCUUAUAUUUUAGAUUAGAAGAUUAAAUUACCUUAGGGAUAACAGCGUUAUAUCUUUUAGAGUUCUUAUCGAAAAGGAUGAUUGCGACCUCGAUGUUGGAUUAAAAUGAGUGAGUGGCGAAGAGGCUGCUAAACUAAGUCUGUUCGACUUUUAAAAUUUUACAUGAUCUGAGUUUAGACCGGCGUGAG
rnacentral:rRNA from 1 species